CUAGCCUUUUAAUUGGAGGCCUGCAUGAAUGGCUUGACGAGCGCCCUGCUGUCUCUCUUCCCAUGAACUUUUAAAUUAACUUUCGCGUGCAAAGGCGCGAAUGGCUGAGUUAGACGAAAAGACCCUAUGCAUCUUUACUGAGAGAGAAGAAAGUUCUUUAGCUUGGUUUAGCUGGGGCAGCUGAGGAAAAGGCAAAAUUUCCUUAAUAUAAAUCAUACUGGUGGGUUUAGAUCCAGGCUCUUUAGCGGGCUUGACAAGUAGAAAAGUUACGCUAGGGAUAACAGCGUUAUCCUUCUGUGGAGGUCUUAUCUGCAGGAGGGAUUGCGACCUCGAUGUUGAAUUAGGGAUAUACCAGAAAGGCGCAGAAGCUUUUAUUGUGGGU
rnacentral:rRNA from 1 species